rnacentral:rRNA from 1 species
AGAACGAACGUUAGCGGCGCGCCUAACACAUGCAAGUCGCACGAGAAAGGGCUUCGGCCCCGGUACAGUGGCGCACGGGUGAGUAACACGUAGAUCAUCUCCCCUCGAGUGGUGGAUAACUCUCCGAAAGGAGAGCUAAUACAGCAUGAGACCACGGCUUCGUUGAAGCUGCGGCCAAAGCAGGCCUCUACACGUAAGCUUGCGCUUGAGGAUGAGUCUGCGGCCCAUCAGCUAGUUGGUAGGGUAAUGGCCUACCAAGGCUAAGACGGGUAGCUGGUCUGAGAGGAUGAACAGCCACACUGGAACUGAGACACGGUCCAGACUCCUACGGGAGGCAGCAGUGGGGAAUCUUGCGCAAUGGCGAAAGCCUGACGCAGCGACGCCGCGUGAGCGAUGAAGGCCUUGGGUUGUAAGCUCUGUGGGAGGAAGAAGUAAGGCUUGGCUAAUAUCCAAGCUGAUGACGUACCUCCUUAGAC